CAGUCGCCACGGUAAUACAGAGGGUGCGAGCGUUAAUCGGAUUUACUGGGCGUAAAGCGUGCGUAGGCGGCUUCUUAAGUCGGAUGUGAAAUCCCUGAGCUUAACUUAGGAAUUGCAUUCGAUACUGGGAAGCUAGAGUAUGGGAGAGGAUGGUAGAAUUCCAGGUGUAGCGGUGAAAUGCGUAGAGAUCUGGAGGAAUACCGAUGGCGAAGGCAGCCAUCUGGCCUAAUACUGACGCUGAGGUACGAAAGCAUGGGGAGCAAACAGGAUUAGAUACCCUGUAGUCCCUGUCUCUUAUACA
rnacentral:rRNA from 1 species